GACGAACGCUGGCGGCGCGCCUAACACAUGCAAGUCGAACGGAGUCAAGAGGAGCUUGCUUUUCUUGACUUAGUGGCGAACGGGUGAGUAACGCGUGAGUAACCUGCCCUGGAGUGGGGGACAACAGUUGGAAACGACUGCUAAUACCGCAUAAGCCCACGGAUCCGCAUGGAUCUGCGGGAAAAGGAUUUAUUCGCUUCAGGAUGGACUCGCGUCCAAUUAGCUAGUUGGUGAGGUAACGGCCCACCAAGGCGACGAUUGGUAGCCGGACUGAGAGGUUGAACGGCCACAUUGGGACUGAGACACGGCCCAGACUCCUACGGGAGGCAGCAGUGGGGAUAUUGCACAAUGGGGGAAACCCUGAUGCAGCGACGCCGCGUGGAGGAAGAAGGUUUUCGGAUUGUAAACUCCUGUCGUUAGGGACGAUAAUGACGGUACCUAACAAGAAAGCACCGGCUAACUACGUG
rnacentral:rRNA from 1 species